UUGGAUAUUUUCUCAGGUCUGAUCCAAACGUCCAUUGACAAACAGAACACACUAGACGUGUAUAUGUGUUUCAAACAUUCUAGUAUCUUGAGUCGUGUACACAUGUAGACACUAAAUAUACAUAUCGGGCGGCCCACAAAUCCCACGACCACUCAACUUAGUCGCUUACCACUAUCAACUAACACAAUGUAGACACAUAAGCACGUCCUAAUUUGCUAAACAACUCAUUGACUCUAAAAAGUUCAGAAGCAACACUACACGUGCUUAUCCCACGUUUAUUCGCCGGCGCGAUAAACGGCAGAUCCUACGGUGGAAAGACCGAAAGCUAAUCACCAUGAGUGAAGAUUCCAGUCUCACCACCUCUAGUCAAAUAAUCAGAAGUCUUAA
rnacentral:lncRNA from 1 species